rnacentral:rRNA from 1 species
UAGGGAAUAUUGGACAAUGGGGGCAACCCUGAUCCAGCCAUGCCGCGUGAGUGAAGAAGGCCCUCGGGUUGUAAAGCUCUUUCGUCCGGAAAGAAAAGCUUCGGGUUAAUACCCCGGGGUUCUGACGGUACCGGAAGAAUAAGCACCGGCUAACUUCGUGCCAGCAGCCGCGGUAAUACGAAGGGUGCAAGCGUUACUCGGAAUUACUGGGCGUAAAGCGUGCGUAGGUGGUUGUUUAAGUCUGAUGUGAAAGCCCUGGGCUCAACCUGGGAAUGGCAUUGGAAACUGGGCAGCUAGAGUGCGGUAGAGGGUAGUGGAAUUCCCGGUGUAGCAGUGAAAUGCGUAGAGAUCGGGAGGAACAUCUGUGGCGAAGGCGACUGCCUGGACCAGCACUGACACUGAGGCACGAAAGCGUGGGGAGCAAACA